UACAGAGGUCUCAACCGUUGUUCGGAUUCAUUGGGCGUAAAGGGUGCGUAGGCGGUCGUGCAAGUCGGAUGUGAAAUCUCAGGGCUCAACCCUGAAACUGCAUUCGAUACUGCGUGGCUAGAGUGCUGGAGAGGAGACUGGAAUUUACGGUGUAGCAGUGAAAUGCGUAGAUAUCGUAAGGAAGACCAGUGGCGAAGGCGAGUCUCUGGACAGUUACUGACGCUGAGGCACGAAGGCCAGGGGAGCAAACGGG
rnacentral:rRNA from 1 species